rnacentral:rRNA from 1 species
CCUACGGGAGGCUGCAGUGAGGAAUAUUGGUCAAUGGGCGAGAGCCUGAACCAGCCAAGUCGCGUGAGGGAGUACUGCCCUAUGGGUUGUAAACCUCUUUUGUCGGGGAGCAAAACCCGGCCGUGUCCGGCUGUUAGAGUACCCGAAGAAAAAGCAUCGGCUAACCCCGUGCCAGCAGCCGCGGUAAUACGGAGGAUGCGAGCGUUAUCCGGAUUUAUUGGGUUUAAAGGGUGCGCAGGCGGAUUUUUAAGUCAGCGGUCAAAUCGUGGGGCUCAACCCCCUCCAGCCGUUGAAACUGGGGAUCUAGAGUGUGCGAGAGGUAUGCGGAAUGCGUGGUGUAGCGGUGAAAUGCAUAGAUAUCACGCAGAACCCCGAUUGCGAAGGCAGCAUACCGGUGCACAACUGACGCUCAGGCACGAAAGCGUGGGUAUCGAACAGGAUUAGAUACCCGGGUAGUC